rnacentral:rRNA from 1 species
UACGUAGGGGGCAAGCGUUAUCCGGAUUUACUGGGUGUAAAGGGAGCGUAGACGGCAGCGCAAGCCUGGAGUGAAAGCCCGGGGCCCAACCCCGGGACUGCUUUGGGAACUGCGCGGCUAGAGUACGGGAGGGGCAGGCGGAAUUCCUAGUGUAGCGGUGAAAUGCGUAGAUAUUAGGAGGAACACCGGUGGCGAAGGCGGCCUGCUGGACCGCAACUGACGUUGAGGCUCGAAGGCGUGGGGAGCAAACAGG